rnacentral:rRNA from 1 species
UACGUAGGGGGCAAGCGUUGUCCGGAAUUAUUGGGCGUAAAGCGCGCGCAGGCGGUUCUUUAAGUCUGUUGUGAAAGCCCACGGCUCAACCGUGGAGGGUCAUUGGAAACUGGGGAACUUGAGUACAGAAGAGGGAAGCGGAAUUCCACGUGUAGCGGUGAAAUGCGUAGAGAUGUGGAGGAAAACCAGUGGCGAAGGCGGCUUUCUGGUCUGUAACUGACGCUGAGGCGCGAAAGCGUGGGGAGCAAACAGG